AGGUUCCAGAUACCUUGCCUUUUGAAGAAAUCUUGAUUGAUGGCAAAUGAAUUGCAUAAUUUAUAUCCUCCAACACAUUACAGGAAGAAGUGGAUGAAUUUAUCAAGAAAAAGAAUGAAGAAGAAGCCAUUGAGCGACAGCUCCUAGUUGAUAGACGUAAAAAGUUUGAAGCCUCUCGGAGAGUUCAGUACUACAGAGAUUUAUUCCAUGCUGUCACAGGAUACAUCCCAAUACCUCCUGCUCAAACUAAGAUGAUAGUCAAAGUUGCCUUUUUCGCUAUUACUGCUUACUUUGCCACAAGCCUAUAUAGCUAUUAUUCAGAGUCUCCAUCUUUAUUUGCUUUUGCUCCAAGGCAAUGAUAUUUGGGAAAUGGCCCAUUUUUCUAUGCUGAUUGAUUCCUAGUCAUUUCCAUCACCUAGUCUUUCACUUUAGGACGUAAAUUGUAGACUAUCAUACGCUGUUUGGGUUCUAGGGAUGAUAUAUUCCUUUUGUAUAUACAUGUUGAUAGUUUUCCAGCUUAAAGUUUAUGAAUAUGUAAGAAUAUAUAAUUGUAUAUAUGAUUUAUGUUUGUACUGUACAGUUUGCAAAAGAAGGUUGAACUUUUUUAGAGUUUUACUAUAAUGUAAUGUGUAAUGCAAAUAUUAGUUUCCUUGAAUGGAUGUCCAGUUGUUAUAUGAAAGGUUCAUUCCAUAGAUUUUUGUAUUAUUUAAUAAUAAAGAGGUUUGCUGCAUAAA